GUAGCUCUGCAGCAGACGUUUCUUACAGACUGAUACGAGACAAAAACGAAGUAACAGACCCUGAAAAGAUAUGAAUAGUUUUUUUUUUUGUAAAUG